CGCGUAGGCGGGAUGGCAAGUCAGAUGUGAAAUCCAUGGGCUUAACCCAUGAACUGCAUUUGAAACUGUCGUUCUUGAGUGUCGGAGAGGUAGAUGGAAUUCCUAGUGUAGCGGUGAAAUGCGUAGAUAUUAGGAGGAACACCAGUGGCGAAGGCGAUCUACUGGACGAUAACUGACGCUGAGGCGCGAAAGCGUGGGGAGCAAACA
rnacentral:rRNA from 1 species